ACCAGAUUGGCAGACUAGUGCUACUGGUUUAGGGCCAGUGUAUAAAAAUUAUUAUUUAUUUGGUA
rnacentral:tRNA from 1 species